rnacentral:rRNA from 1 species
GACGAAGGGGGCUAGCGUUGUUCGGAAUUACUGGGCGUAAAGCGCGUGUAGGCGGUUGUUCAAGUCAGGUGUGAAAGCCUUGAGCUCAACUCAAGAAAUGCACUUGAUACUGGAUGACUAGAGGACCGGAGAGGAUAGUGGAAUUCCCAGUGUAGUGGUGAAAUACGUAGAGAUUGGGAAGAACACCAGUGGCGAAGGCGGCUAUCUGGAACGGUACUGACGCUGAGACGCGAAAGCGUGGGGAGCGAACAGG